GCAAACUUUGUCAUUCUAAGCUAGUCUACUAAUGUGAUGACCAGCGUCUUGGAUGAAACCAAAUUUUAACAGAACAGUUUCAAUACGGAAAUGACCGCUCUCAGACCGCCUUCCAUCAUUUGAGUGAACAUGACCAUGUCUUUUGGUGGUUGUUUCAAUUUCUGAAGGAUUUUGUCUGAAGCAUUCAACUGAUUUCCGAAGUAGUCUGUUGUGCGAGUGAGGAAUUCAUCGGUGUAGAAUUUGGUCAUCCAGGGUCCAGUCAGCAAUUUCCCAAGCAACCCCAGAACUUGCAUUUCGACCUGUCCAGCAGUAGAGUCGAAGUCUUCGAGUAUGCAAGCACGAAGGCCUCCACAGGAUGUUCCUCCACAGAGAUAUGACUUCAGUGCAGAAUGGUGACUUGAGAAUAUCCCACAUGUGGAAAAGAAUGUGCAGCCGAUUACCUCUGUAGCGUGGUAUGAGGCUGAGAGGGAGAUUUUUGUUAUUCAAAAAGAUCUUAAAGCCACGAGGGUCACCCUUGCCAUCCAUGUACCUCAUUUUAUUAAUCUCAACUACAAUGUUGGCCCCAAUGCACUCUUUCUAUGGAAGAAUAUCUGACUCAAAAGCUUUGUACGUGUGUAUCACGUUUUGAAACUGUAGACAUUUUUGUAACUGUAAAAAU